GUCUUUAAAGAGGUAAUCAAUGGCCUCGACGGAAACCAACCCUGCCAACACCUUGACCUCGGACUUCCAGACUCCAGGCUCUAAGACUAGGCAUCUGUUGUUUAAGCCACCCGAUCUGGAGCACCUUGUUAUGACACCCCUGGAAAACUAAUGCCGUCUCAGAGAACAUGACAAGCUUGCUCUCCAACAGAAGCAGCAAUGACGUAAAGAGGCAAAUCUCAGAAACACAUACCCAGGAGUUUGUGGAGACAGAUCUCAAAGGCCCAGCCUGACGUUCUCAGAGACUCUGGGGGAUCCAGGAGGGGGAACUGAGUUGCCUGCACCUUACAGGGAAGCCCUGAGAGUUCCUGGGGGCUCACCUUGGCCUUCGGCCCACAGCCCUGGUGAGGCCGUUGUGGACUUCAGUGCUGGACCAUCCCUGUGCCACCCCAGGGCUGACCCAGUGAGCUUGUUCAUCAGGCGGUUCCUCCACCACCCGGUGGAACGAACUCAGCGUGGUCUGGAAGAUGAUCUCAGCUUUAAAAAAUGACUUUUCACCUGACACCUGCCAUGAACAUCAAGGCAGCUAACUUGACAGAUUAGGUUAAUUUUUCCUGUCAUACAAAAGCUUGUCUUCUUUGAAAACAUUAACGUUCUCAUUUCUUAUGUAAUUCCUCCAUAGCCUCUUAAUUUACUCAGUGGUGGGGGGUUGGGAACGAUGCCUUGUAUUUUUGUGUCUUUCCUAGCACCCAGCACAUAUGGGUACUCAAAAUAUGUUGUUUAAUUUAAGGAAUCAGAACAUCAUUGGCUCUCCCCAUUGGAGGGACCCACUUGUACCAUCCCUGCCACUUUGCUGGCGCCUCUCCUGGGCCAUGACCCUCAGUGGAUGGUCCAUCAGCCCACUCUGGCUAGACCCUUCUUGCAGUCUUGGGAUAAGAGCAUGUUAAAAUGGAAUGAUUUCACUCUAGAGUCUGCCAAGGCCCAAGGCAAUAGGUGCCACCUUCCAAACUGACACCUAGACCACAUGUAUGUGGGGACAUAGAGAAACACCGGUCCCACCUCCUAGAAAAUCCGGACAGUGAGAGCCUGUCCUGCCACUGCCAGAAACAGAGCCAAUAAAAAAAAUCCCUGCAUGAGGGGCUGCCUCUCUCUGACAUCUGUUCUGCUGAUUAUGAGUCUGACAGGGCAGAGGAUGGACAGUGUUGAGCGGGGGCUUGUGCAGAAGACAGCAAGCAAGGGAUUGCCUUGGAGUCUGUCAAACAGAGCCGCCAGAGGGACCCAGGGCGAGGUGCCAAAGAGCUGGAGGUCCUGCCAGGUGCCCAGGAUGCAGGAACAACCCACAGCCAAGCAGCCAAGCAGAUGGAUAUGUGAUGCUUGGCCCAGGUGUGGGCACUCUGGGGUGAAUUCCCAGGGGUGAAGUUACUCCAGGAAGUUGGAGCAGGGAGAGUCCUUGAAGAUUCCACAGAAGCAAGAGUUAGCAAGGAGGGAGGAUAAGAUACAGAAAAGGGAAGAGAAGCCAAUGACGUGAGGGGAGGGAGCAGUGGAUUUCAAAGAAAGGCUUGAAAAUUUUUAUCAUUACACUGAACUGGGUACUUAAAUGCCUGACCUGAGACCGAGGCUAGAAGUGAAGCGCAUCUACAGCGCUUGGUUAUCAUCCGAGAAACAGGAGACACUGCCGGGAACCCGUCCUGAUUUCAUCUGCAGAGGUGGGAAGAAAGGACCCACGUGGAGGAGACUUAAAUGGACCCAGGAAGAGAAGGAAAAGAAGUGCUUAACAGUAUCCUCUUGUUCAAGGUCAUGGUUGUAUCAGCUUCCACGUUCCUCCUGUCACAUUCUGUACCCAGAGUGAUUAUGUUGUGUUGUGCUUGGCACAUGUUAAAUAAUUUCUUAAAAAAAUAAAUAUUGAACACAGUGAGCAAUCUCUGUCUUUCCAUUCUCUAAAAAAAGACCCUCUGUUAUUAUUAUUGCUCCUCCUCCUUCUAUAUUUUUAUUAUUUUGAUCCAUCUGCCCCACUUUACCUGGCCAAAGAUACAUCUGUGAAAGGCACUGUUUGGCAAGAGUGCUAUUGUUUUUUAGCUUCAUGGAAUGCACUGGAAGUCUGGCUGCCAUUUUCCUGUGCCAUCUGACAGUUCAUUUAAUUUCUCUGUGCCUUUGUUCUCUUGGCUAAGGAAGGAGAGCAUUGCCCAAGGUUGGUCUUGGAGAGUCAACGGUGUCCAUAAAUCAACUUUUUCUCAGGCAAAUUCUAAAACCCUGGGUUUUUAAAUAUUACUGCUUGUUUGUUACUGUUCCAAUGGGUUUUUGCCUCUUAUUUAUGAUUCAGGAUGCCUCAUUGAUUCAGGGAUUUAAAAGACUAUAAACUCUCCAGGGUCAAAUUGUGUUUCUGGUCAGAUGCAAAAGGUUAUUUUGAAUCUUCCACCAGGGGAUAUGUUUUGACUAACGAAGUGUGUCAGCCACUAACUUUACCUAGAAACUGUGAAAUAAGCAGAGAGAUAAUUAGAAAAAAAAAAUCAAACCUAGCAAAGUUUUAUUUUCAUGCUUAAACAACCAACAAGGCACAUUUCAGAGGCGAUAUUAAGUAAUUAUUGAGCUAUUAAAUGCAAGUUCUUUUCCUAAACUUUUAGCCCCAACUGUCACAUCCAAUCCCACAUGAGUAUGAUAGAUUCAGUGCCUUGAAAUGAUUUAUUUAUUCAAUAAGUGUUCAUUGAACAGUGCUGAAUGCCAGGUGCUGUUCUAAGCAGUUGCGGUACAUAGAUUAAUGAACAAAACAGACAAAACCUGGCCUUUGUGAACUUACAUGCUGGCGUGUGUGCCUGGGCAGGCAUUUACUAAAUCAUGAGCUAGUAGAUAGCUGAAUCAGUUAGAUAGUGUGUGUGUGUGUGUUAGGUUGUGGGGCUGCCACAACAAAGUGCCACAAUCCAAGUGGCUUAAACAAUGAAAAGUUACUAUCUCACAACCUGGGAGCUUUAUGUCCAAGAUCAAGAUGCUAGCGAGGCUGGUUCCUCCUGAGGGCUGUGAGGGAGAAGCUGGUCCAGGCCUCUCUCCUUGGCUGGGAGACGGCCGCCUUCUCCUCUGUCUCUUCCCAUGGCCAUCCUUCUGUGUGUGUGUCCCAAGGUCCCCUUUUUUAAUAAGAACACAUGCCAUGUUGGAUCAGGGCCCACCCUCAUGGCCUCGCUCUAACGUGACUACCUCUGCACAGACCGUCUCCACGUCAAGUCCAUUCUGAGGUCCUAGGGUCAGGACUCCACCUUGUAUCUUCAGAGCAACAGGAUUCAGCCUCUACCACGUGCCAAAGGUGUUGGAAGGACAAGUGCCCAGAGGGAGGAGGUGACCCCCAGACGGUCUGCAGAGGAGGAUGCGAGACAUCCACACGGUCCCUGCAGGUCAAGGACUGGGGGAAGCACGAGCGCCCCCAGGAGGGUGGGACCAUCCCGUGUGGUCAAGACUCAGCUCUAGGACCCCUUCGUCCCUCAAGCGGAGGACGUCCCUGGAUCCCGGGGCUGUGAUGUCCAGAUGUGUACAGCUGGAAGCGGUGUAAGAAGAGUCCCCAUGACUGUUGCCCGUGAUUCACAGUAUCUUCUUGCCUCGCCCGCUCCGUGGCGGUUGCCCAGCUGUCCUCCCUGUGGAUUGGGUCAACCUUGCCGCCUCUGGACAGUGGCUUCCUGGAUGGCAGCAGCUCUUAGGCCCGGAUGUCUGGGCUUCUUUCUCCCACAAAGUGCUGUGUGCACCGUGAUGCAGGGGCGGGAAACGUUCACUGUGCUCGAUGGGGUGCGUUUUAUUUCAGAGGCGUUCUUCACGAAACCUCCACGUCCAGCCCCAGGCAGGACUUCCUCCCCUACGUUAUAAAGUCCUGGGUCAGACUCUGCCUGCUUUUGUUGUGCGUGGCACUGAGGUCGUUUCUUAUGAGAUGCUUACUUUCUCAGACUAUGGGGUCAUUCUUUUCGAUGUCUUACGUAUCUGAAAAGAGGUAAUAUUUGGGGCAAAAGCACAGAUAAGAGCCGCACAGGUUUGUGCAUGAGCUUAGUGCCUUAGUCUCCUGUGGUUUUACAGUUUUCACAGCUUUGAGGAUAGAGCCUUUAGCACAGACCUUUUGAACACUCGAGACAUGGACACUUUUGUAUUUGGUACAGUAAUCUGGUCAAUAGACAAAGUAUUCUGGGUAAUAAAAUAUGCAUUAGGGUUUUUCUCUGGCUUGAAAUGAAAAACCUAUUUUGAGUAGAUUUCCAACGGCCUAUGUUAUGAAUGAUUAAGCACCAGCAGCAUUACACUGUACCUCUGAUUCUUUAAUUACUAGACCAAAGAUUAGCCACUGGCUUAUCUCUAAGGGUCAUUGAUGAGGACAGGGGCUGGUGCUGCUAACAUGCCACAGACAUUAACAGAAGGGCCGAGACAGCAAGAGGGGGUGGUGAGAGGUACACUGGAGACCUGCAACAGAUGCUGUAUAAAUGCAGAGAGGAGAGAGCGUUCCCUUGCGGCUCAGUGGGCUAGGGAUCCAGUAUUGUCACUGUAGCAGCUUGGGUUUCUGCUGCAGUGUGGGUUCGAUCCCUGGCUGGGAACUUCUAUAUGCUAUGGGCACAGUGAAAAAACAACCCAAACAAACAAAAAAAUUAAAUGCAGAAAAGAGAGGCAAAGAAGGACCAGAAUAGACAAUCUGAAGUGAGAAGAUCAGUGAAGAUCCCCAACCACGAGUUAGGGGCACCAAGGCGUCUCUUGUAAUCGUGCAGAAGAAUGACUUAGCUUUUUGAAAAAGUGCAAAUACUUAAGAAUUUCAGCCAACUCUUUUCACGAUGUGGGCUGCUGCCUAACCAGCUGCUAACUUCCCAGACUUGCAAAUGUGGCAUCUUUUCUCCAGCACACCUUCUGAGUCUGUAACUCUGGGGUCAGUUUGGGAGAAGGUUGGCCUCCUCUGACAGCGCAGUUACGUAAAUCCCCUCUCAGCUCAG
rnacentral:lncRNA from 1 species